GGACGUGAUGAAGAAAAAUUAUUUACUUCUGUUUGGAGAGGGUUCAGGAACACUCUCCAUGACGUUACCAUAAUUAAUCCAUUCUCUGAUCA